rnacentral:ribozyme from 1 species
UGAAAAUGAUGGCAAAGAAAAAGAAACGAAACUCGUUGUCGACAAUGAUGAAAACAACAAAAUCAAUAGUAAC